GGCCACAGGACAACGGUGGGCAUAUGAACCGUGUCAGGUCCGGAAGGAAGCAGCACUAAGUAUUGCUCCGCCGUGUGUUCUGUGAUUACA
rnacentral:SRP_RNA from 1 species